rnacentral:misc_RNA from 1 species
GACAAAUACUAAUAGACCUCUAACAGAUCACACAAAAAUGGCGAAAAAUAGCAAAAUGUUGCAUAUUGGAGUAUUUCCAUGGUUAGCUUUUGGUCAUAUGAUUCCGUAUUUAGAGCUUUCGAAGCUAAUUGCUCAAAAGGGUCAUAAAAUUUCUUUUAUUUCGACUCCCAGAAACAUAGAUCGUCUCCCAAAACUUUCCCCAAAUCUUACCCCGUUUUUAAAUUUUGUCAAACUUCCAAUGCCUUAUGUGGAAAAUUUGCCGGAAAAUGCAGAAGCCACUACCGAUGUAACUUAUGAGCAAGUCAAAUACCUCAAACUUGCUCAAGAUGGACUCGAAGAAUCCAUGGCUAAGUUUCUCGAAGAUU